rnacentral:rRNA from 1 species
UACGUAGGGGGCUAGCGUUGUCCGGAAUCAUUGGGCGUAAAGCGCGUGUAGGCGGUCCGGUAAGUCCGCUGUGAAAGUCGAGGGCUCAACCCUCGAAUGCCGGUGGAUACUGUCGGGCUAGAGUGCGGAAGAGGCGAGUGGAAUUCCUGGUGUAGCGGUGAAAUGCGCAGAUAUCAGGAGGAACACCGGAGGCGAAGGCGGCUAUCUGGCCGAAUACUGACGUUGAGACACGAAAGCGUGGGGAGCAAACAGG